CGCCUUGCCAGCCCGCUCAAGAACUCAAAGGAAUUGACGGGGGCCCGCACAAGCGGAGGAGCAUGUGGUUUAAUUCGAUGAUACGCGAGGAACCUUACCUGGGCUCAAAUGUAUGUUGACGUAUUCUGAAAGGGAUACUUCUUCGGACAAUAUACAAGGUGCUGCAUGGUUGUCGUCAGCUCGUGCCGUGAGGUGUCGGGUUAAGUCCCAUAACGAGCGCAACCCCUAUCAUUAGUUGCCAUCAGGUCAAGCUGGGGACUCUAAUGAAACUGCCUACGCAAGUAGUGAGGAAGGUGGGGAUGACGUCAAAUCAGCACGGCCCUUACGGCCUGGGCUACACACGUGCUACAAUGGUCGGUACAAAGGGUUGCCAAGCCGCGAGGUGGAGCUAAUCCCAUAAAACCGAUCGUAGUCCGGAUCGCAGUCUGCAACUCGACUGCGUGAAGUCGGAAUCGCUAGUAAUCGUGAAUCAGAAUGUCACGGUGAAUACGUUCCCGGGCCUU
rnacentral:rRNA from 1 species